rnacentral:rRNA from 1 species
UACGAAGGGGGCUAGCGUUGUUCGGAUUUACUGGGCGUAAAGCGCACGUAGGCGGAUCGUUAAGUCGGGGGUGAAAUCCUGGAGCUCAACUCCAGAACUGCCUUCGAUACUGGCGCUCUUGAGUCCGGAAGAGGUGAGUGGAACUCCUAGUGUAGAGGUGGAAUUCGUAGAUAUUAGGAAGAACACCAGUGGCGAAGGCGGCUCACUGGUCCGGUACUGACGCUGAGGUGCGAAAGCGUGGGGAGCAAACAGG